UACGAAGGGUGCAAGCGUUAAUCGGAAUUACUGGGCGUAAAGGGUGCGUAGGCGGUUGUUUAAGUCUGUCGUGAAAUCCCCGGGCUCAACCUGGGAAUGGCGAUGGAUACUGGGCAGCUAGAGUGUGUCAGAGGAUGGUGGAAUUCCCGGUGUAGCGGUGAAAUGCGUAGAGAUCGGGAGGAACAUCAGUGGCGAAGGCGGCCAUCUGGGACAACACUGACGCUCAUGCACGAAAGCGUGGGGAGCAAACAGG
rnacentral:rRNA from 1 species